rnacentral:rRNA from 1 species
UACGUAGGGUGCAAGCGUUAAUCGGAAUUACUGGGCGUAAAGCGUGCGUAGGUGGUUCAGUAAGUUGGAAGUGAAAUCCCCGGGCUCAACCUGGGAAUUGCAUUUGAAACUGGGAAACUAGAGUGUGUGAGAGGGGGGUAGAAUUCCAAGUGUAGCGGUGAAAUGCGUAGAGAUUUGGAGGAAUACCAGUGGCGAAGGCGGCCCCCUGGCACAACACUGACGCUCAGGUGCGAAAGCGUGGGGAGCAAACAGG